rnacentral:rRNA from 1 species
CAAAGGAGUGAUCCGGCAGAGGAUGGACAUGCGGCGCAUUAGCUAGUCGGCGGGGUAACGGCCCACCGAGGCUACGAUGCGUAGGGGUUCUGAGAGGAAGGUCCCCCACACUGGUACUGAGACACGGACCAGACUCCUACGGGAGGCAGCAGUGAGGAAUAUUGGUCAAUGGGCGGAAGCCUGAACCAGCCAAGUCGCGUGAGGGAAGACGGUCCUAUGGAUUGUAAACCUCUUUUGCAGGGGAGCAAGGCGCGGUACGUGUACCGCGAAGGAGAGUACCCUGAGAAAAAGCAUCGGCUAACUCCGUGCCAGCAGCCGCGGUAAUACGGAGGAUGCGAGCGUUAUCCGGAUUUAUUGGGUUUAAAGGGUGCGCAGGCGGACUGUUAAGUCAGCGGUAAAAUGUCGGUGCUCAACACCGGCCGGCCGUUGAAACUGGCAGCCUUGAGUGAGCGAGAAGUAUGCGGAAUGCGUGGUGUAGCGGUGAAAUGCAUAGAUAUCACGCAGAACUCCGAUUGCGAAGGCAGCAUACCGGCGCUCAACUGACGCUCAGGCACGAAAGCGUGGGUAUCGAACAGGAUUAGAUACCCUGGUAGUCCACGCAGUAAACGAUGAAUGCU